GCCGGGCACGGUGGCUCAUGCCUGUAAUCCCAGCACUUUGGGAGGCCGAGGCAGGUGGAUCACCUGAGGUCAGGAGUUCGGCAGCCUGGCCAACAUGGUGAAACCCUGUCUCUA
rnacentral:SRP_RNA from 1 species